CUGAUACUGAUACUCAGCACCAUAGCCUCGGUGAAAUGUCAAAACAUGGAGUCCACUCCCUCAAGUGCAGUGCUGAAGAAACCUGGUGACACUCUCAGUCUCUCUUGUAAAGGAUCUGGGUUUACUUUUGAAAGCUACAACAUGAACUGGAUCAGACAGCCUGCUGGGAAAGCACUGGAGUGGAUGGGUUUUAUCUAUAGUGAUGCUAGUGGCACCUUCUAUGGCAACAGUGUCCAAGGACGCAUUGAAAUCACCAGAACCAACCCCAACAGCAUGGUGUACCUGAAACUGACUGGUCUGAGGGCAGAGGACUCUGCUGUGUAUUACUGUGCAAGAGAAGCACAGUGA